GGUUUAGAUAAGGAUUAUUACUGUAGAUUUUCAAAAUCUAAGAUUAUUCUGUGGAUAUAAGCUA
rnacentral:tRNA from 1 species